GGUGGCUCAGUGGUAGAGUGCUUGCCUUGCAUGCAUGAGGCACUGGGUUCGAUUCCCCAGCACCA
rnacentral:tRNA from 1 species